rnacentral:lncRNA from 1 species
AUUUCGUUUCGUUAUCAAAUAACUGACAAUUUAUCGCCCUUUGUAUCAACACGCCAUUUGUAAACAUGAAAGGUCGUGAGAAAGGAAACUUUUAAACAGUAAUUUUACGAUUAAUUUAAAAGGGAUAAUGAAUGGCAUUGCGCAAUUUACAGAUCAACUUUUGAUCAACAACUGAGGAACAUCUGGCAUAUUGCUAUGUCCUUAAACAAAAAAGGAUUUCUCAAGAAUGGCUGACGAAUGAAAGAAUUUCCAGAAAAAUAAAAUUCUUUAUGAAUUUGUGAAUGGAAAUGAAACCCAAGGAACUAAUAUAUUUGCUUACCAUCCAGUUGAAAGUAUGCCGAUGGAAUAAAGUGCAGCUGUCACAGAAGUGCACAAAAUAAGGUCAUGAUUUCUGCAAAAGUUCACCAAGCUGAUUCAAACUACAAAUGGG